rnacentral:rRNA from 1 species
GAUGAACGCUGGCGGCGUGCCUAAUACAUGCAAGUCGAGCGAACAGACGAGGAGCUUGCUCCUCUUACGUUAGCGGCGGACGGGUGAGUAACACGUGGAUAACCUACCUAUAAGACUGAGAUCACUUCGGGAACCCGGAGCUAAUACCGGAUAAUAUAUUGAACCGCAUGGUUCAAUAGUGAAAGACGGUUUUGCUGUCACUUGUAGAUGGAUCCGCGCCGCAUUAGCUAGUUGGUAAGGUAACGGCUUACCAAGGCGACGAUGCGUAGCCGACCUGAGAGGGUGAUCGGCCACACUGGAACUGAGACACGGUCCAGACUCCUACGGGAGGCAGCAGUAGGGAAUCUUCCGCAAUGGGCGAAAGCCUGACGGAGCAACGCCGCGUGAGUGAUGAAGGUCUUCGGAUCGUAAAACUCUGUUAUUAGGGAAGAACAAAUGUGUAAGUAACUAUGCACGUCUUGACGGUACCUAAUCAGAAAGCCACGGCUAACUACGUG